rnacentral:lncRNA from 1 species
CGCCCGCAAAGUCUGGGGCCAUUCCGAGCCCGGCGGACGAACUUCGCCGACGCCCCCCACCAAGGCUAUAGCCCACCCAUUUUUUGGCCAUUUUUCCGCUGGGGGGUCUUGGCGCCCCGACCUUCGGGGGCUGAUUUUUGGCGCGGCUGUGGCCGUGGCCUAAUUUUGGCACACGGAGGCCGCCCGCAAAGUCUGGGGCCAUUCCGAUCCCCGGCGGACGAACUUCGCCCACGCCCCCCACCGAGGCUAUAGCCCAUCCGUUUUUUUGCCAUUUUUCCGCUGGGGGGUCUUGGCACCCCGACCUUCGGGGGCUGAUUUUUGGGCGCGGCUGUGCCCGUGGCCUAUUUUUGGCACACGGAGGCCGCCCGCAAAGUCUGGGGCCAUUCCGAGUGCGGCGGACGAAGUUCGCCCACGCCCCCCACCAAGGCUAUAGCCCACCCAUUUUUUGGCCAUUUUUCCGCUGGGAGGUCUUGGCCUCCCGACCUUCGGGGGCUAAUUUUUGGGCGCGGCUGUGGCCGUGGCCUAUUUUUGGCACACGGAGGCCGCCCGCAAAGUCUGGGGCCAUUCCGAGUCCGGCGGACGAACUUCGCCCACGUCCCCCACCAAGGCUAUAGCCCACCCGUUUUUUGGCCUUUUUUCCGCUGGGGGGUCUUGGCGCCCCGACCUUCGGGGGCUGAUUUCUGGGUGCGGCUGUGCCCAGAAAUCAAUUUUUGGCACACGGAGGCCGCCCGCAAAGUCUGGGGCCAUUCCGAGUCCGGCGGACGAACUUCGCCCACGCCCCCCACCAAGGCUAUAGCCCACCCACUUUUCCGCUGGGGGGUCUUGGCGCCCCGACCUUCGUGGGCUGAUUUUUGGGCGCGGCUGUGCCCGUGACCUAUUUUUGGCACACGGAGGCCGCCCGCAAAGUCUGGGGCCAUUCCGAGUACGGCGGACGAAGUUCGCCCACGCCCCCCACCAAGGCUAUAGCCCACCCAUUUUUUGGCCAUUUUUCCGCUGGGAGGUCUUGGCCUCCCGACCUUCGGGGGCUAAUUUUUGGGCGUGGCUGUGGCCGUGGCCUAUUUUUGGCACACGGAGUCCGCCCGCAAAGUCUGGGGCCAUUCCGAGUCCGGCGGACGAACUUCGCCCACGCCCCCCACCAAGGCUAUAGCCCAACCGUUUUUUGGCGAUUUUUCCGCUGGGGUGUCUUGGCACCCCGACCUUCGGGGGCUGAUUUUUGGGCGCGGCUGUGGCCGUGGCCUAAUUUUGGCACACAGAGGCCGCCCGCAAAGUCUGGGGCCAUUCCGCGCCCGGCGGACGAACUUCGCCCACGCCCCCCACCAAGGCUAUAGCCCACCCGUUUUUUGGCCAUUUUUCCGCUGGGGGGUCUUGGCGCCCCGACAUUCGGGGGCUCAUUUUUGGGGGCGGCGGUGCCCGUGCCUAUUUUGGGCACACGGAGGCCGCCCGCAAAGUCUGGGGCCAUUCCGAGUCCGGCGGACGAACUUCGCCCACGCCCCCCACCAAGGCUAUAGCCCACUCGUUUGUUGGCCAUUUUUCCGCUGGGGGGUCUUGGCGCCCCGACCUUCGGGGGCUGAUUUUUGGGCGCGGCUGUGCCCGUGGCCUAUUUUUGGCACACGGUGGCCGCCCGCAAAGUCUGGGGCCAUUCCGAGUCCGGCGGACGAACUUCGCCCACGCCCCCCACAAAGGCUAUAGCCCACCCGUUUUUUGGCCAUUUUUCCGCUGGGGGGUCUUGGCGCCCCGACCUUCGGGGGCUGAUUUUUGGGCGCGGCUGUGGCCGUGGCCUAUUUUUGGCACACGGAGGCCGCCCGCAAAGUCUGGGGCCAUUCCGAGUGCGGCGGACGAAGUUCGCCCACGCCCCCCACCAAGGCUAUAGCCCACCCAUUUUUUGGCCAUUUUUCCGCUGGGAGGUCUUGGCCUCCCGACCUUCGGGGGCUAAUUUUUGGGCGCGGCUGUGGACGUGGCCUAUUUUUGGCACACGGAGGCCGCCCGCAAAGUCUGGGGCCAUUCCGAGUCCGGCGGACGAACUUCGCCCACACCCCCCAGCAAGGCUAUAGCCCACCCGUUUUUUGGCCAUUUUUCCGCUGGGGUGUCUUGGCGCCCCGACAUUCGGGCGCUGAUUUCUGGACGCGGCUGUGCGCGUGGCCUAUUUUUGGCACACGGAGGCCGCCCGCCAAGUCUGGUGCCAUUCGGAGUCCCGCGGACGAACUUCGCCCACGCCCCCCACCAAGGCUAUAGCCCACCGGUUUUUUGGCCAUUUUUCCGCUGUGGGGUCUUGGGACCCCGACCUUCGGGGGCUGAUUUUUGGGCGCGGCUGUGCCCGUGGCCUAUUUUUGGCACACGGAGGCCGCCCGCCAAGUCUGGUGCCAUUCGGAGUCCCGCGGACGAACUUCGCCCACGCCCCCCACAAAGGCUAUAGCCCACCCAUUUUUUGGCCAUUUUUCCGCUGGGGGGUCUUGGGACCCCGACCUUCGGGGGCUGAUUUUUGGGCGCGGCUGUGCCCGUGGCCUAUUUUUGGCACACGGAGGCCGCCCGCCAAGUCUGGGGCCAUUCCGAGUCCCGCGGAUGAACUUCGCCCACGCCCCCCACAUAGGCUAUAGCCCUCCCGUUUUUUGGCCAUUUUUCCGCUGGGGGGUCUUGGGACCCCGACCUUGGGGGGCUGAUUUUUGGGCACGGCUGUGCCCGUGGCCUAUUUUUCGCACACGGAGGCCGCCCACCAUGUCUGGGGCCAUUCCGAGUCCCGCGGACGAACUUCGCCCACGCCCCCCACAUAGGCUAUAGCCCACCCACUUUUUGGCCAUUUUUCCGCUGGGGGGUCUUGGGACCCCGACCUUCGGGGGCUGCUUUUUGGGCGCGGCUGUGCCCGUGGCCUAUUUUUGUCACACGGAGGCCGCCCGUCAAGUCUGGUGCCAUUCCGAGUCCCGCGGACGAACUUCGCCCACGCCCCCCACCAAGGCUAUAGCCCACCCGUUUUUUGGCCAUUUUUCCGCUGGGGGGUCUUGGGACCCCGACCUUCGGGGGCUGAUUUUUGGGCGCGGCUGUGCCCGUGGCCUAUUUUUGGCACACGGAGGCCGCCCGCCAAGUCUGGGGCCAUUCCGAGUCCCGCGGACGAACUUCGCCCACGCCCCCCACAUAGGCUAUAGCCCACCCAUUUUUUAGCCAUUUUUCCGCUGGGGGGUGUUGGG